CCCCCGAUAGCUCAGCGGUCUAGGGCGACCUCACAAACGGGACUAUAGUAUAAAGGGUAACAUUCUUUCGGAUGAGGGAGAUACGAUAUCUUACUCUGGAAGAGUUCCAAGUUCGAUUCUUGGUAGUUCUCUUGUGGGA
rnacentral:tRNA from 1 species